CAGUGGGGAGGACAGGGCUGGAGUGUAGGCACAGCUGGAGCCCGAGCCGGGAGACCGCAGCUCCCAUCCUCCCCAGGCAAGACUACUUCUCUGGUGUCCACUACUGCCUGCCUGCUGAGGGGUUCUGGAAAUUCCCUGGAGCCAACUGAUGCCCUCUUGAUCCCCCAGCUCAGGGAGGCUGUGAUGUCAUCAACUAUUUUAUUAACUUCUCCAGAAGCCUGUUAAGAGUACGGUACUUGCUCCAGUAUCCUCCAAUUCAGUCCUGCCCAGGCCAGAUCGGGGAAGUGGGGAAGUUAUGGUCCAUGCAAGAGUCAUACCCUGAACUUUAUGGGGUUUGUAGCAACCAGGUGCAGAACAGUGUCCCGCCCACUCUCAACAAGAGCCAGAGAACAGACAUGGGCAAGGAGGAUGUGGUAGGGGCCUGAAGACAAAAGAAGAGCGAUAAGAUAAAGGAGAGUAAUUGUGGAAAGAGAAAGGGCAGCUACAGAUGGUGAAACCGAGGACAGAAAAGGAAAAGACCUGCUCAAAGUCACAGCACAAGGAGAGGAAGAGUGAGGACCAGCACAAAGAUCUCCAGCACUUCCCAGACCAAGAUCUGUUCUUGCCUCUACUCUCGCUGCCUCUCACACAC